rnacentral:piRNA from 1 species
UCAGAACACAGGGCUCACCCGUGCUAGU